GGAAUUUUGCGCAAUGGGCGAAAGCCUGACGCAGUAACGCCUCGUGGAGGAUGAAGGCCUUCGGGUCGUAAACUCCUGUCAGAAGGAAUGAAGAUUAGCAGGAGAUACCACUGUCUAAUCUGCCAGUACCUUCAAAGGAAGCCCCGGCUAAUUCAGUGCCAGCAGCCACGGUAAUACGGAAGGGGCAAGCGUUGUUCGGAAUUAUUGGGCGUAAAGGGCGCGUAGGUGGUCUUAUAUGUCCGCUGUGAAAGGGUACGGCUCAACCGUACUCGGCCGGUGGAAACUGUAAGACUUGAGGCUGGGAGGGGCUAGUGGAAUUCCCCGUGUAGCGGUGAAAUGCGUAGAGAUGGGGGAGAACACUCGUGGCGAAGGCGGCUAGCUGGACCAGUCCUGACACUGAGGCGCGACAGCGUGGGGAGCAAAC
rnacentral:rRNA from 1 species